UUACAGCCAUAUCACGUUGAAACACCGUUUCCCGUACGAUCGGCGAAGUUAAGCAACGUUGAGCCAGACCAAUACCUAGAAGGGUGACAGCUUGGGAAUACCAGGUGCUGUAAG
rnacentral:rRNA from 1 species